rnacentral:rRNA from 1 species
CAGCGUCACGAGUGGCAACCAUAUUUAUUGGGCCUAAAGCGUCCGUAGCCUGUUUGAUAAGUCUUUUGUUAAAUCGUUGAGCUCAACUUAACGUCGUGCAAGAGAUACUGUCAGACUUGGAAUUGGGAAGAGUUAGAGGUAUUCUGGGGGGAGCGGUAAAAUGCUAUAAUCCCUGGAGGACCACCAGUGGCGAAAGCGUCUAACUAGAACAACUUCGACGGUGAGGGACGAAAGCCAGGGGAGCAAAACGGAUUAGAUACCCGAGUAGUCC